UACUUUCAUAAUUGUACUAUGUUUAAAUUUAUACCUAAAUUAUAUCGUUGUUUAGAAUAUAUCUCAGAAGAUAAUGUGUAUGCAGGAUUUCGUAUACAGAUCCUCGAAAGAGAGUGAUAAGUUUUCAGGAUUAUGAUGGUUUUAUACAUCAUCAAAUGACGAAACAUCAAGUAUGGGCGCUGUUAAUCUCCGUAGAAGUCUCUCCUACUCCAUCAAAAGUCGAAGCUCUUCUUUGGGCGAUGAAGUGUAUGAUCGGUGCAGAUAAUCAAGAUGUAGCGUUCUUUACAGACUGUUCAAACCUGGUGAAGAUGGUGUCUUCCCCAACUGAAUAGCCAGCAUUUUCAAAAUAAAAGGAAUUUCUGAGCGACAAGGAUGAGUUUUCAUACUUCUCUUUAUCUUUAUUCUCUUGAAAGAGAAUCGCAAAUGUAAAAAUAAAUAAUUUGGCACGGAAAAUCCGUUCUGAGCCGCAUCAAAUUAUCUAUGUAAACAAUAUUUCACAUAAAUAACU
rnacentral:sRNA from 1 species